GAAAGAAUGGGGGUAGGGGUGGGAAGAGAGAGACUUGUGGAAUGAGCUGCUUGGCAGAACCAAGUUUCAGCAGGGGGAACCAAAUGUUGAAGCCCUGCCCCCCACCAUAGCGUAUUUGGACAUGGCGCCUUUGGCCCCACCUGAGAAGCAGGCUGCUGAAAACACUAAACCUCAGAUGCUCCUUCCUGGGGAAAAAGAGCUGCAGGGGAAUUGCAUCCGGAUACACAGUUAUCAUAACUUCUUGAUCUUCCA
rnacentral:lncRNA from 1 species